GCCGCGUGAGUGAUGAAGGCUUUCGGGUCGUAAAACUCUGUUGUUAGGGAAGAACAAGUGCUAAUUGAAUAAGCUGGCCCCUUGACGGUACCUGACCACAACGCCACGGCUAACUACGUGCCAACAGCCGCGGUAAUACGUAGGUGGCAAGCGUUAUCCGGAAUUAUUGGGCGUAAAGCGCGCGCAUGUGGUUUCUUAAGUCUGAUGUGGAAGCCCACGGCUCAACCGUGGAGGGUCAUUGGAAACUGGGAGACUUGAGUGCAGAAGAGGAAAGUGGAAUUCCAUGUGUAGCGGUGAAAUGCGUAGAGAUAUGGAGGAACACCAGUGGCGAAGGCGACUUUCUGGUCUGUAACUGACACUGAGGCGCGAAAGCGUGGGGAGCAAACAGGAUUACAUACCCUGGUAGUCCACGCCGUAAACGAUGAGUGCUAAGUGUUAGAGGGUUUCCGCCCUUUAUUGCUGAAG
rnacentral:rRNA from 1 species